AGAGAAAGAGAGAGAGAGAGAGAGAGAGAGAGAAGGGAAGGUAUAAUCUUCUGACUCUUUGUCAGGAGUUCUCUGAAAUCGCGCGGUAGGGCAUGUUGUCGACUACUUGCUAGUGGAAAUUAACAACAUGUAAUUCGUGUCAGAAUAAUUUUAGAGCUGAUGAAACUAUUUUAAAUGUUCUUAUUUUAUUAGCAGUUGCCGAUUUAUAAUACAAAUUGAUUGAUAAUAGCCUAAUGCACAUAAGUGUGUCCACUUCAGUUUUUCACUAUAUGAAAUACUCACUGUAACCAUAUUGCUUGUGACCAUACACGUUUAUUAAAGUGUGCAAGGUUACUACACACAUUGUAUGAAAGAGUGCGCAUGUGAACUUUCUGCUAAAAAAUAUUGGUAGGCAAGCUUCCAUUGAACAAGCAGACUAGAUAGAAAAGCCCUUUUUGUUACUGUACUAAAUGUCACUUUACCUCAGUGCAAACAAAAAUAUAAUAAAAUAAUCAAAUAUAAAUUAUAAGACUGAGUUUGUGUGGAUUUAAAACCCCAGUGUGCCUCCGCCGUGCUCACUAAACAAAUUAUUAAAUAUAGCUAGCGUACACCAUACUUAAAAAAAACAGGAUCAACAGCCAAUCACAAGACGCGUAAUUUCUUGGCCACGUUCUAAUUCUGGCCAAUGAUCAGCUCCCGGAGGCGGGGUGAGGGACUUGACGCACUGAGGCGCGUGAUUGACGCAAGCGAUGUUACUAAAUUUAGCAGCGGGUGGCACGGGGUGUGAGAUAGCAGAUCCUUCAUUCAUUGCGCCGGGGCGGGUCCGUUUAUUUUAGACAUUUGAUUGUGUUCCAGCCAAUCCAAAUAUAGUCGUAGACAGGUAUUUUUAGCGGAAGCGUGUCCCCGUUACCUCUUACCAGGGAACAACCUUAUGAUAUCCCCAUACUGUAAUGGGAGAAAGUAGAGAACCGAUAGCCUCGGGUAAUUUCGCUGCCCGUUGGCUCAAAAUGAAGCUUUUUUCUCAGGUCUCUCCAUUCUAACCAUGUUGUUUAACUCGCUUGGCUCUUCGGAAAAGCUGGACAGUAUAAGUUCGGACGUCCCGAGGACACUAAACAGGUUUCGGUUGUUGUGCUAAAUGUUUUUGUAGAUAGAAUGUGGUUUAAAGGCAACCGUUUAAAAAGGGACAGUUCGUACUAAGCUAAGUCUCGCGACAAAAUAUCGCCAGUAAUGUUUUUUUUUUUUAUCGCUAAUCGAUAGAACAAGUGCAUUGUCUAGUCGGUAAAAGACUACAGGUAAUUUUUCUUCCACAGCUCACGAAAAGCUGUUGCAAAGAAGUUGUAAAUAAGGCUAUUCUUGCUACAGGCAUCAGGUCCAUAUCUGAAAAUAAACCAUAUAAAUGCCUGGAUAAAGAUACAUAUAUAUAUAUAUUGUAGCGAGCAAUUGGCUUGUGUUUGCUUGUUAUAUAUUUUUUAUUAUUUAACUGUCGUUUAUAUUUUGACCAUUUCCCAACUUCAAGAAGUCCAGCAGUACAUCAGGUGGUGGUCUGUAGUUGAGGGGAACAUGUUCGCGUCGCGAGACCUGGGGCUAGGUAUGGAAAGGGUGCGCGCGCGGAGGGAAACUCGCUCCUUGCUUUGCCGUCACGGGGAAUCCCCUCUCCGUGACCUUCCCCCGCCUCUUUAGAUGCUUAAAGAGGGAGAGGGUAAACCGGGUCAAGUGAUAUUAGCCUCGUUUGUGACAAGACCGGUUCAGCUUAGAGACAACUGGGUAAAUUACAUAGCCCACCUUUUAAAGAACCAGAAACUGUCUCUGUGGUUAUAGGUAUAACGGAUGUGCAAAAGUUAAAGCUGAAAGAAAGAGAUAUAAGCAGACAACAAAACAGAAGUCAAUAAAACUUCCACGUUUUUCGGCAGUGAUUGUAAAAUGGAUACAUCUAUGAGUGACAUAUCCAAUGACUUUUACAGCAGUGACUCAUCCAAAAGGAAGGAAAUACUGCUUUCCGGGCUGAGAUUUCCCAAAAAAUGAAGCGCACAUGCUUUUACUGAGCGCAUUGGCUGGAAAUAUUGCUUGCCUCUCAGGCUCUCCAGUGCACACACAACAGGAGAGCAAUGGCCAAGCUUGGAGGUGGUCACCAUUCACUGCCAAUAUAUGGACAAGCGCAAACACAAUGGAAAUAAACAUAUUUGACUUGCUGUCCUUGGUGGAGGGCUCAAGCAAAACCAGCAGAGAAGUUGGGGUUGUGGAAGGAUUCCGGAAAACAGUUGCAGGACUAAGUAAUAGGAUUGGUUCCUCAGUGCUGGAUCAGUGGAGAGCUGGACGGCCGCCAAGUGUGCAGUACAGUGGUUACAGUGUGAAUCGAACUGAUCUUCACUCUAGAGAGAGAGGGACUUCCCCAUUUGACUCCAUUACAACACUGAAUACUUAUUCAAAGCACUUAGAUAAGUAAUACAUGUGAGAUGAAGGCAAACUACAGGUUGUUUAAUGAAAAAUGGUGCAUUAGCAUUCCUGUAAUUCGAAUAGUAGUGCAUGGCUGCUAUUUUAGAUUUUACAGAGUAUAAGUGCAAACUCACCUAAGUAUUUUUAUUAUUUCUGACGUUUCAGCAGAC